rnacentral:rRNA from 1 species
UACAGAGGGUGCAAGCGUUGUUCGGAAUUAUUGGGCGUAAAGGGUGCGUAGGCGGCCCGGUAAGUCAGUGGUGAAAGCCUCCAGCUCAACUGGAGAACUGCCAUUGAUACUGCCGGGCUUGAGUACAGACGAGGUUGGCGGAAUUGAUUGUGUAGCGGUGAAAUGCAUAGAUACAAUCAAGAACUCCGAUUGCGUAGGCAGCUAACUAGGCUGUAACUGACGCUGAGGCACGAAAGCGUGGGGAGCGAACAGG